GAUGAACGCUGGCGGCGUGCCUAAUACAUGCAAGUCGAGCGAACAGACGAGGAGCUUGCUCCUCUGACGUUAGCGGCGGACGGGUGAGUAACACGUGGAUAACCUACCCAUAAGACUGGGAUAACUUCGGGAAACCGGAGCUAAUACCGGAUAAUAUAUUGAACCGCAUGGUUCAAUAGUGAAAAGACGGUUUUGCUGUCACUUAUAGAUGGAUCCGCGCCGCAUUAGCUAGUUGGUAAGGUAACGGCUUACCAAGGCAACGAUGCGUAGCCGACCUGAGAGGGUGAUCGGCCACACUGGAACUGAGACACGGUCCAGACUCCUACGGGAGGCAGCAGUAGGGAAUCUUCCGCAAUGGGCGAAAGCCUGACGGAGCAACGCCGCGUGAGUGAUGAAGGUCUUCGGAUCGUAAAACUCUGUUAUUAGGGAAGAACAAAUAGUGUAAGUAACUAUGCACGUCUUGACGGUACCUAAUCAG
rnacentral:rRNA from 1 species